UAGGGACGGCCACUCGCGUUCGUGGUGCUAAGCUAGCUGUGUGUCGCUAUCCCAGGAGACACGGAGCCCGAGAGAAUCUGUUUCUAGAAAAAGUAGUUUGUUUUAGCAAAAGCAGCUGUAUUUUCUUGCCAAGUGCCCGUGUCAAUGCUGUGGUAAAAGUUACCUUGUGCGCAGGUUUAAUUCUUCUGAUGUCAUUAUUAUUUCUUACACUGGGUAGCCUUUUUGUCACCAAGAGGCGGAACACGUUGACUUUCUAAGACAUGAAAAGUACAUGAAAUAACAUGACCAACCACCACAAGUCCUCAAGACAAAGGGAGCAUGGUAGAGGGGGAGCGGGACAGCCUCGCGGGCCAGACUGCCCAUAUGUUGGCGCCCCGCAAAAGUACGGGAUCUGGAGCAAAUAUGUCACCUCCAGAAGAAACCUGUCCCCAUUGAAAGUCACUCCCUGUUACCUCAGCCCUUGGCAACCACCGAUCUGCGGUGUCCCUGUGAGCUUUCCUAUUCUGGACAUUUCAUAUAAAUGGAAUUAAUAAUAUGUGGCCUUUUACGUCGGGCUUCUUUCGCUUAGCGUAAUGUUUUCAAAGUUCAUCCAUGUUGUAGUUUGUCAGUACUUUAUUCCUUCAGACAUAAGAAUAAUAUUCCAUUUAAUCUGUUUUAUGUUUCCAUUCAUAUUCAUAUUACUCCUUCUUCUGUUGAUGGACCUUUCGGUUAUUUCUAGUUUUUGGCUAUUAUGAAUGCCGCUGCUAUGAACAUCUGUGCACAAGUUUUUGCAGACAUGUUUGCAGUUCUCUUAGGCAUAUAUCUGGGAGUGGAACCGCUGGGUCCUAUGGAAAUUCCUUGUUUAACCUUUUGAAGAAUUGCCAGCUUGCUUUCCAAAGUUGCACCAUUUUACAAUCCUGUUUAAUUUGCUGACUCUCAGUUCUCUCACUUAUGAAGUGGGGAUUAUAAUAGUGCCGACCUCCUAGGGUUUUGUGAGGAUUAAAUGAGUAGGUUCAGAGAAGCGCUUACAGUAAUAAAUCAUACAGUAGGUGUUCUGUGAGUGGUAAAUCUGAUGGUGGGUAAUAACACUAAUAAAUGUUACUUUAAUUCA